UACAGAGGUGGCAAGCGUUGUUCGGAAUUACUGGGCGUAAAGGGCGCGUAGGUGGCCUUCUUAGUCAGACGUGAAAUCCCUCGGCUUAACCGGGGAACUGCGUCUGAUACUGGAUGGCUUGAGAUUGGGAGAGGGAUGCGGAAUUCCAGGAGUAGCGGUGAAAUGCGUAGAUAUCUGGAGGAACACCGGUGGCGAAGGCGGCAUCCUGGACCAACACUGACACUGAGGAGCGAAAGCCAGGGGAGCAAACGGG
rnacentral:rRNA from 1 species